rnacentral:lncRNA from 1 species
AGAAGAUAGAAGUAUUUAUAAAAAAAAAAUUCUGGCAUAAUUUUUUAAUAGAUAUCUUGAUAAUUGGUUUGAUAAUUUCAUAAUGCUGUAUAAAAUUUUAUAAGUAAUUAUUGCAUAUGUAUAUAAGUGUAAGGCAACCAUAUUUAGUGAUGCAUACCCAGAGCCAUUCCAAUCUAGAUGAUAACUGGAUAUAUGGAUGUGUGGAAUACUCUUUUUACAGAAAAAAAAAGAAUGGCAAAGAAUGGGUUCAAUACUCCUUCUGCCUCACACCUUACUAUGAACUGUACCAAAAAGAGUCAGUGGACAAAGAUGUCUACAUGUGUGAUAUAUGCAGCAUCACAGAUUUGGAAUAAUCUGAACAGCAGCAUAAAAUUUAUAUUAAGAAAACAAUAACAAAUUUACAAUAUUUUUGAAAAUAAGAAUGCC